AGAGAUCCAGCCUCUAUCACAAACCACAAUUAGACCUCAAAACAAAGAAAAUUCAGGAAACCAUUCCCCACCACAACAACCAUCCAUUGCCGAGACCAGGUCCUACCACCACUUUCGAUUUCUCGUUGAACAAUCGCCCAUUCUCAGUUAAGCACACCAACGUUAGUCCAAGGAAAAAAUCAUAAUUAGAGACAAAAAAAUCAGAAACAUAAAACAAAAAGGAGACAAAAGAUAUAGAUGGGACCUUCUCUCUCUUCGAUUUUUGGUCCAAAACGUUUCAAAGAGAUUUGUGUCUCCAAGUUCAGUGAGGAGAAAGAUCCGAAGAAGAGAAAAAGCAUACCUUAAGCUGGCUACCAUCAGAACAACGAUGAAGGGUGGAGUCAUAAAAUAAACUUUCAGAUCUGUGGCAUUUGAGGAGCAUUUUCAAAAAAUCUAAGCUCAUUUUCGAGACGAGGAGGCCGAGAGGAAACGUUGGGAAAGUUUUGGGCUCAAAUUGACUCCGACCGUGGCGAUGUGCAGCGACCAAUGUCGGCAUAAAGACUAGAGCGGUGGCCGGGAAUCGUGUGGAUGGAGAGAAGCAGAGAAGCAUAGAAAUUGAAUUCCAAUAGAGAGAAAAACGAAAGAAGGCUGAAGGAAGAAAAAAAAAACUUGACGUUUAUAGUUUUAAUAAAACAACGACGUUUUGGGGUUUAAUGAACCUGAUCCUCCUAGACUUGCCAAGUGACUUGCGCUUCAACCCAUAAUCAACUCGAACUGUUUGUAAGUAUACUGGUAUUCACUUAGGAUUCAUUUGAAUAAAUCUUGUGCGACGAGAUUAAAAAUAUUAAUAAAAAUUAUUAUAAUUAUGAUUAUAAAAAAUUAUUAUAAUUUAAAAAAUUUUAUAAAAAAAUUUAUAUUAAAUAAAUUUUAUUAAAGUUGACAUUUAGAUUCGACUAGUGAGUUGAUGUCUAUGUUGCUUUAUUAUUAUUUUGUUAUCCUUUUAAAUUUCUUCAUUACAACAUGUUUUAAUUAUUUAUAAUUUAUAAUAUAAGACUAAUAAUUGGUUGACACAGUAAAAAAUAAUAUUUAAAAUUUUGAAUAUAGAUAAAAAUUAUCUAACGAAAUUAAAAAAAUCAAGAAUGAUUGAUGUUUUUUAGAAAUUUCUAAGCAAGAAGUUUUUCCUUAAAAUUUCUGAAAUGGUAGAAAUUUUAAGUAAAAAUUUUGAUAACAAGAAUAAUAAAAAUAAAAUAUCAUAUUGAGAAAUUUUUUUCAAAUGAUAGAAUAAAGUUUGGAAUUAAAAUCUUCCAUAAAUCCAAUGAUAAAAUUUUAAAAAAUCACAAUUGAAUAAUUUUUUUUAAUUUUUAAUUGAGAAGUUUUAUCAUAAAUAUUUUUUAAAAAGUAAAAAAUUUAGAUAAAAAUUUGAAAUAUAAAAAUAAUAUAUAAAAUCAAGAACAAAAAUAACAAGAAUGUAAUUCUUAAAAAUAAAUAAAAACUAGCCAAAUGAUGAAAUUUUAAAAAUUAAGAAUGAUUGAUUUUUUAAAAAUUUCCAAAUGAGAACUUUUAUUUUGCCAAAAUAGUGACAAGGUGAAAUAAAUUUUAAUAACAAUAAUUAACAGUUAUUUUCAAGCAUAAUUAAAUUGGAAUAAUAAGUUUUUGAUAAAAUAAAGUGAACCCAAUGAAACUCUAAAAGAUUAAAAAUGAUUGAUUUUUUAAAAAAUUUUAAAUGAGAAAUUUAUUUUCAAUUUUUGUCUGAAUGAUGGUAAAAUUAGAUAAAAUUUUAAUAAUAAUAUUUUUUUAAGCAUAGUAAAUAAUAGGGAUAGAAAUGUUAAAUUUUAGAAAUAAUAAAAAUAAAAUUUUGAAAUAAAAAAUAAAGUAAAUCCAAUGAUAAUUUAGAAAAAUCAAGAAUGAUUUAUUUUCUUAUAAAUUUCUAAGUGAAAAAAUAUUUUUAAAUAUUUUUAUAAUGGUGGAAAUUUUAAAUAAUUUUAAUAAAAUAAAUAAAAGAUGAUUAAUAAUAAAUUAAAAAAUAAAAUCCAUCAAUAAAAUCUCUUCAAAAGAACAAACAGACUUUUUGUACACUCUUAAGAUGAAAUUUUUUUUAAAAGUUCUACAAAAUGGUGAGGAAAACUUAAAAUUCUUUUUAUUAUGUAAAUGUUUAAAUAAAAAGAUCAAUUAAUCAAGAUUUUAAGAUAAUUUAAAAUUAAUUAAUACUAACUUAAAUAGAUUUUAUAAAAAUGUUGUAAUAUUUUUCACAUGAAAUAUAAUUUUUGCACUUAAUUUUAAAACGUAAACCAAAAACCUAUUUUUUGAAAGUCUUAAUCACGUUUAAAAUAAUCUUAAAAUGAUAAAUUCAUCAAAUAAUCAAUCAUAGAUAAAAAAUUUAAUGACUAUUCUUAAAAUUGUAUCUAUUGAUUAAAUUUUCAGAUUAAUACGUUAUUGACUAUUACAUAAAAAAAGGGUCAGUCAAAAUUUUGUCAUACAAAUGUCACCUAGAGAUUAACAAUCGAGAUAUUUAGGGGUGACAUAGCAAGAGGACAAGGACCAAUUUCAUUAUCACAGUCAAUCCACAGCCAGCUUCGCUAUUCAUGCAACCGCCCAAAUUAUUCAGCCUGAAAUCAAAGGAUAUUGUGUAAUUAGACACAUAGAUCCAGAGCCGUAAAAUUACAAGCAUGAACUGCUAAAUUCAACAAACUGAUGCGUCAACCAUCAUUAAUGCCAAAGUUGAUUGUUCACAGGCAAAUCACAUAUUCAAUCAUUGAAAGAUGUCGUGUUUUCAAAAUUUACUUGAUAAGUACAAUCCCGUAAUGUAUAAAAUUGACUCAACCAUCAUACAGUGCCCCGUAGAAAAAGGCUCAGCUUCCCAGUAAUAUAUUGACAAGCCCAUUGGGACAUGACAUGCCUCUUAAAUUUGGAUUACUGGUUUGUCAUCCCUAUACUCAUGGUGCUUGUAGGUCAGCUACAGCUCAAACUCGAUUGAGGUAGCACCUUUAGCCAGUGUCAGGCCUCCUAAAAGAAAGGCCAAUUGUCUGCAUAUUUUAUAGACUCCAAUAGCAAUUACUUGCAAAGGCUUCUUAGUCCACUAAUGUGGAUUACUAAAACUAUUUGCCCUUCCUUCGUCCAACUACGUUUUUUCAUUGCAAGACAUAAAACAGAAUUGCCAUGCAAUAAAAGGAGAAUAAUGGUCACUGAAAGAGUUUUUACCUAUCAGCAUCAAGAUGGCCAACUUGAAGAUAAUAGAAUGAUCUCUCCCGUAAACAAAAGCACUUGCCACAUUCCAAAUUGGAACUAUACAAAGAUAAGUUUAUGGUACUUAAAUGUUUACUGCCACAAAAAUAACAAUGGUUAGAAGCAACAGUAUGCCAAAGCAGAAAAUGAAGCAAUCAAAUAAACAACAAAGAGGACACCAACCUUUAGAGGGUAAAAAGCAACCUUGUUUCGAUCUCUACCAUUGUAAUUUUGCACCAAAUAUUACUUUACUAUAUUCUUUUAGCUCAUCUUGAUUAAUCCUAAGUAUAUACAAUGACAGGUACUACAGCAGUUGACCUGCACCAAUAUAAAUAACAAAGGUGAAACUCAAGGAAUACAAAAAACAAGUGAAAACAGAGAUAAAAACAAUGUUCUCUGAAUAUUUUUUUAUUAAAAAAGAAUCUUUAAAAAUAUAGAGGAAUCGAUAUGUACAAAGAAACCCACAUAAUCAAGACAUAAUCAUCUAAACAUAGAAAAAAAUAAAAGACCAGAAAUAUAAAUCCAACAAAUUAGGAAAUUUAUCCUAAUUUGAUACAUAAUUUGUUAACACUCCCUCUCAAGCUGAGAAUACAUAUUUUUCAUUCUCAGCUUGUCAACAAGAGUCUCAAAGCUUGGUUUACGUAGUCUUUUUAUUAGGAUAUCUACUACUUGUUGCUUUGUAGGAACAUAGGUUAUACAGAUCACUCCCAUAUCAAUCUUGUCUUUGAUAAAAUGCCUAUCAUCUUCCACAUGCUUUGUUCGUUCAUGAUGCACUGGAUUAUGAGCAAAACUUAUAGCAACCUUGUUAUCACAAUAUAGUUUCAUAGGGUAUUCAGCUGUUAUUUUCAAUUCUCCCAAAAGUCUCUUCAACCAAAUAAGUUUGCAAGUUCCUUAUGCAAGAGCUCUAAAUUUUGCUUCUGCACUACUUUGAGCAACAACAGACUGUUUCUUGCUCCUCUAUGUGGCAAGAUUAACCCAAACCUUUGUAAAAUAACCAGAGGAGGAUUUUUGGUCUUCAAUUGAUCCUGCCCAAUUUGCAUCUGUAAAUGCUUUCGCAUUUCUUUGUUCAUGCCAGGUGUGGCCUUCAAAUACUUUAAGAUUUGAUAUACAGCUUCAAGAUGCUCCUCAAUUGGAGAGUGCAUGUAUUGACUUACUACACUAAUUGUGAAGGCAAUAUCAGAUCUUGUAUGAGACAAGUAGAUCAGCUUUCCAACUAGUCAUUUAUAUCUCCACUUAUCUAUGGGAAUUCUUCCUUUCUUUUCAAGUUUCACAUUAAGCUCUAUAGGUGUAUCAACUGGUUUACAGCCAAGCAGACCAGUUUCCUUCAAGAGAUCAACCGUAUAUUUUUUUAGGGAACAAUAAUGUCAUUCUUGCUCCUUGCAACUUCCAUCCUUAAAAGUAUUUUAGUUGUUCAAGAUACUUAAGUUCAAAUUCUUUUCCAAUAGUCUUUUUUAACCUUUCUAUUUCUUCGGUGUCAUCACCUGUCAAUAUAAUAUCAUCAACAUAAACGAUCAAAAUAGUCUUUUUUUCAUGUUGUGAGUGUUUGGAAAAAAGAGUAUGAUCAGUUUGUCCUUGGCUAAAUCCAUGUCUCCUUACUGACUUUGCAAAACGAUCAAACCACAAAGAAACUUUUUCAGUUUACAUACCUUCCUGUCAUUAUUUACCCUUUUAAAGCUAGGAGGCAAUUCCAUAUAAACUUCAUCCAACUCCCCAUUCAAAAAGGCAUUCUUGACAUCCAUUUGGUGUAAUGGCCCGUAAAGAUUAGCAACUAGUGAAAGCAAUACCCUCGUAGUAUUCAAUUUAGCAAUUGGAGCAACAGUGUAGUCCACACCAAAAGUUUGAGUAAAUCCCUUUGCAAUUAUGCGGGCCUUGUGUCUUUUUAUUCCUCCAUUUGAAUUAUACUUAAUAGUAAACAUGCACUUACAUCCAACUAGUGUUUUUCCUCUAGGUAACUCCACAACAUCCUUUUCAAGGCUCUCAUCUCUUUAAGUACAGUAGCUUUCCAUUUUGAGAUUUUUAAAGCUUCAUGAAUAUUUUGUGGGAUUUUAAUACCUCAAUCUUUUCUAUCAUGGCACAAAAUGCAGUAGACAAAUGGUUGUAAGAUAAUUGGACAAAGGGUGUUAAGUGCAUGAUGUUACACCUUUCUUGAGUGCUAUAGGCAUGCCUAGAUCAUUAGGUAGAGUAUUCACUGGUGAUGGUGCGGCAAGCACAACAUUUUUUUAUUCAAAAUUUACUUUCGGAUCAGUAUUCACUAGUGAUGGUGUUGUAGGCUUAGCAUUUUCUGAUUUAGAAUUUACUUAUGGAUCAAAUUCUUGACAAUGCGGUUGGGGCACAAAAGUUUGUACUUCUUAAGGCUGUGGUUUACAUCAUGAAUAAACACGGAGUUCUGUUUUUUGUUGAGGACUAAACAUAGAUGAAUCUGCCCUUGUUUCUACCUUAGCUUCUGUUGGUGACACAAUAGGAAUAGUAGAUGUUAUAGGAAGUGGAAUGGAAAAAUCCCAAAGCCUAUCUUCACCUGGUAUCUUCCCCUGAAGAAUUGGUUUUGGGUAAAAAAGUUGACUUUCAAAGAAUGUGACAUUUAAUGAGAUAAAUAUUUGUUUCGUGGAUGGAUUAUAACAUUUAUACCCUUUUUGAGUAAAAAGUACCCAGUAAAGAUACAUUUUACAGCUCUAGGUUCUAGUUUCCCACGAGAUAGACUUUUAUUGUGAACAAAAAAUGUGCAACCAAAGACUUUUGGGGUAAAAAACUAAACCUAGUUUGUGGAUGUGAUUUAAGUAACAUGUUUAAUGGUGUUUUGAAAUUGAGAACUCUACUAAAAAAUCUAUUGAUCAAGUAUGAGGUUGUUAAAAUAGCAUCUCCCAAAAAAACUUAGAGGCAUUAUUUGUAAACAUGAUAGCACGAGCAACUACUAAUGAAUGACAAAUUUUAUAUUCUGCAACCCCAUAUUGUUGGGAGGUGUUAACACAAGAAUUUUAGUGAAAAAUCCCAUUUUCUUUUAAAUGAUCACCAAGAAUUGAAGAAUUCCCUCCCAUUGUUUGUGUGAAAAAUUUGGAUUUGAGCUUGAAAUUGUGUUUGAAUCAUUUUGUGAAAUUGCUGAAAAAGUACCUUAGCAUUAGACUUAAGUUUUAAUAAGUAAACCCAACAAGCUCGUGUGUGAUCAUCUAUAAAAGUUAUGAACCACCUAGUUCCAGUUAUGUUAUUUUUCUAUGAAGGUUCCCAAAUAUCACUAUGAACUAAAGAAAAAGGUUUAGCAAAUCUAUAUGGAUAACUAAGGUAAGGAGCAUGAGUGUGCUUGACAAGUUGACAAGUUUCACAAUGAAAGGAAUGGACAUCUUUAUUCUUAAAAAGGGUAGGUAAAAGAGUUUUUAAAUAUGGAAAACUAGGAUGUUCUAAUCUAUUGUGUCAUAACAUAAUUUUACUGUAAACAGAAACAGAAACAAAUUGACCACUUAAAGCCAAAACUUGUUUAUUUACUUGUUGAGGAUCCUCAAGAUAGUACAAGCCUUUAUGCUCCUUAGCAUUACCAAUUAUCAUCCCUGAAAGUAAAUCCUGAAACUCACAAUAUGAAGGAUAGAGCUUAGACACACAAUUCAAAUCCUUUGUCAAUUUACUGAUAGACACUAAAUUACAUGCUAAAUUAAGAACAUGCAAGACUGAAAAUAGUGUCAUAUUAGAAACUUUAAUGCUUGUUUUUUUAGCAACAGAGGAUAGUGAUCCAUCAACAAUAUGAAUUUUAAGGUUUCCAGGACAUGGAUUAUAUGUUGAAAACAAUUAAUGGCAUCCAACUGCAGCUAUAUUUGUUCUAUAUUUUUAAGAGAAAAAUAUUUCGUGUUGAUGUUUUAUGAAUUCUGAUUGUUGCAGGUUUCUAAGACAUUUGGUGAGGGAAAAGUUUCCUUCGAGGAAUACGUUUUCACUAUAAAGAAUACAGUUGGAAUUGGUCUCCUCAUGGAAGCUAUAGGUAUUGGCAAAGGAAAGCAAGAUCACACUGGCAAUGCCAUGGAAGAUCCAGUUAAAAGUCAAUCACUGUGCUUCUUUUCGUCCUGAUAUCCAGUUUUGGCAAAAGCAUGUUCUGCUUUACAUCAGCAGAUUUAUCAAGUUUCUAACAGCGAGAUUUCAGGUUGAGCAAAGCUAGAUCCAGCGAUCUUUUUUGGGAAGCUGUUGGCCUCGCCUUUAUACAGAAGGUUGGCACUCUGAACAGCCAAAGAUCAGGUUCUUUCAGUUCAAAUAUUCUCUGGUGUUUCUUAAUCUGGUGUUUAAGAAGUUUUCAAAAAACUAGUGAAGGUACCACUAUUUUUGAUUCUGUUAGUGAUGUUCAUUAAUAAAGUUCAACAACCAUUAGAGCUUGAAAUUGAAUAAGGCAGUAAAAACAAGAUAUAAGUGGGACCAACAAUAAAUACAAGAAAUCCUGAUUUUUAUGUCAAGUAUAAACGUAUUGUUACCUCAAGCCAACGAAAUUCUGGUUGCAAUCGAGAAUCUAAUGAAGUUUAACAAUUGUAGACACUAGUUUGGCCAAGGGGCUGAAACGGUCCAAGGUUCCGAGAGCUGAGAAGCUUACCCUCUUGAAGCUACUAGCUUCUCACCCCCUCUAAGCAUUUCCAGUGAUUCUGAGGAGGAUACAUCUGAUGACUCAGAAGAUGAAGCUGGAAGAAAAUAGUGCGCUUCACAUGCUUGCAGAAGCCAUGGCUUGACGAGGGAGAAUGUGGUGGACUUAUCAGAAUUGUGUAACAGUACUUCAAAUACUGGUAAUUCCCACACCUCUGCAUACCAGCAUUAUAUCAAGUGGAAAAUCAUGAAAGCCACCACACAAGUCUGCUUGCAUUGAUGGGGGCAAAAGGGUUGGUGAAGUAUAAUUUCGUCCAAAAUGUUCACUCUAGUGACUCAAAAUAUUUGGCUCCUGUUAGUAAAGAGCAGGGUUUAACUGAUUGCACCAAUGGAGAAUCAAGUUUUAGUGUUGAAAACAUUUCUGCUGCCAGGAUGUUAAAUGAAGACACUUCGCACUGUAGGUCUAACUCAUCUGAUGCUUGUGAAGAUAUGGUUUUUCAAAUGGGAUCCCAAGACUUGUCUCCUGCCAGUUCUUUGUCUAAAGUCCAUCGUGAUGAGGGAAAGGAAGGCAAUGUCACUGCCUGCAUAGACAAGAAUCUCCGAAAAUGACUCGGUUGCAUACAUUGAUAGACUUGAAUGUUCCUCAAGUUUCAAUGGAUUUUGAAACCAAUGGACCCUUCGUCACAGAGACGGUGAAAAACAGUGAGAAUUCAAGUGCACAUAUAUCAUUCUUUCAGUCCGAAAUUCCGCUGCAGCCUGAGCCAUUGAAGCUUCCCAAUAGAGGUGCAGAGGUCAAUCAGCAUCCUAUAAUGCACAAUCGGAGGCAAAGUACUAGGAAUCGACCAUUAACCACAAAAGCAUUAGAAGCUCUUGAAUGUGGGUUCUUCAGUCCCAAGAGGAAGAGAAAGGCUGCAGAGGCUCUGCAGAAUAACUCACAGAGAGUUCGUGGGAGACCUGUUGUUAGUUCCAUUUUUAGAAAUGGUGCAAGUAACCCCAACAUGGAGGAGAAUUAGGAUGGUUUCUGCAGUGUGAAGAAAUAGCCAGUCCAGUCUCUAAUCUGAAUCUGAUACAUGGAGAAAUGAGCGAGCUAAUUUCUUAGCUAUUCCUGGAAAAACCAUGUAUCCCACCAUGUCCUCCAAAGCAUUGUAUUUUGGGUGCUUUUGAUUUUUCUAGUCAAUAAUUGGGAGACCUAAUGUCUCCUUAGUCAUUCUAGGAAAACACAACACCCAUUCACCCAACUAGCUGCAGUUUUUUGAUCAAUGUAAGGUGAAAAAUAUGUAUCACACAUGUUCAUCUUACAUAAGUCAGACAAAAUCGAUGGUGCAACAACUGGUUAUAAUUUCAGAAAGGCGAGGCGGGGAAACAAUUCCUUCAACUGGAUUAACCUUUUCCAGCGUAGGAACAAUUGACAGCAGGUGGUUCUUACUGUCUUUUUCUAGAUAAUUGACUUCCAAACGGUAUUCCUUAUAGGGUUUGACUGCUGAAUGUUGCUAAUGCCAACCUUUGAUCUUGAUGAAGAUGAUCUUUUUUUUCCAGUUAAUUUAUCUUUGUAUAAACGUGUUGUCCUCAAAAAAUGGAUAAAGCAAAAAAAUUUUUUAUACCUCCCUAAGAUUUUCAAUUUAACAAAGUUGUCCUAUUGCGACCUUUUUUUUGUUUUUGUCAAUUUAAAAGAGUAUGAGACUCAAGAUCAAUAGCACUUGAAGUAUGUAUUAUUAUGUGAAGUAAAUUUGAUAAUUUUAAAUACAAUACAAUUAUACGAUACAAAUAUAAAUAUGUAUGAAAAUAAUAUAGUUUAAAAUUUUAAUAAAAAUCGUUUAUAGGUUUAGAAAAAAUAUAAAAAAAAUGUUUCAUAUUUAAUAUAUUGAUGCAAAUUAUCAUAUAAUAAUUUUUAUAUUUUACGUAUAUUUGAUACGAAAUAAAUAUUACAUAAAUAUAUAAAUUAUCAAAUCUAUAUGAAAAUGAAAUCUUCAUUAAAGUGAAAUGAAGCUUAACAAUGUGCAAGUCAAAUUGCACGUAGUCUUUGAUUGAUGCUAUAUUCAUUAGGAAUAGGUUGGUCGCAUUGCUUGGUUUGUUAUUCCCCAUUUCUUUCUUUUAGUUGUCUUAUUCGGAACAAGAGGAUGGCAUUACCAUUGCAGGAUAUCAUCUAUGAGUUUUGCUCUGGAGGCAACUUAUUCACAGGCAAAAAAUAAGCACUUGAAGCCAGUAAAAACACAGGGAAAGCAAACGUUCAAUCAAUCAUACUCACAGUGCCAAAAUUUUCUUCACUUGCAUGUUACCCACCAAAGAAAAAGGGAACAAAAGGAAAAUAAAACCAUGUAAAAGCAAUCUUUCUUGGGAAAUUUCCUCCUAAAUCUAUUACAAAUUUUCCCCUGGGAAAAGCACGUGCAUUCUAUAGCUAGUUUGCAACAUGCAUGAUACCUAAAAAUUAUUGAAAUUAAUUUUGUUAAGUUUUAAAUAAGAAAGUGUGAAUUAAAGUGAGUAAUUAGAGAAAAUCCAAGAACACAAAAUUUACGUCUACCCAAUAUCGAGUUAUCAAAUGGUUGCAGAUCAUUGCUGCAUACACAUUAAUUCCAAACGGGUGAAAAGAAGCCAUGUUUUCCAGGAGGGAAACCACUACUUGAAUUAUACAACUGGUGAAAUUUCAUUUGUUGAAAUUUUUGUCAUAGAUGGACCAAGGGACCCACUUCAAUAAGCCCGGUGGUGAUGAUGAAUUUGGAUUCCAAAAGAUUUUCUUCCUCCUUCCAUUUAAUCUCCAUCAGUGCUACAGUGAUUGGCAGAGUUGAUCCUAUAAUUCAAGUUUUUUUAAAAAAUCCCCAAUGGGUAAGAAUUUGAAGCAAAAUACGUUUGGUAAUUAGCAUGAAGGAAAAAAGAAAAGUAAAGAAUUUAAAGCUUAAUCUAAUUAAUUUAUAUAAUAAUUUUUUUUCAAUCUCCAUACUGCUGUUUUCUUUAUAUAAAAAAAGUAAGCAAUUAAAUGUGAAGUAAUAUUUAUUUUAUAAACUUCAGCAUUUGCCUAAUUAAAAUUGUAUCUAAGUGAUUCCUUUAUGACUUCCAAAUUUUUUUCAAAGAAAUUAUGUGCUUAAGGAAAAAAAUUUGAGUAAAAAGUGACCAAUCUUUUUUUUAUUAUUAUUAUUUAUAAAUUUCAGUCUGGGACCAUUAUGAAAACUACGUUCUUACCCCUUUAACCACACAAAAUGAAACAAAUUCUUUCAAAUCCAUCCAAUUUGCAAUAGUAUUGAACAUUGACCAUUACCAGACAUAUAAUAGACAAGAUUCACACUUGAUGCACCACUAAAAUGUUUUUUUAAAAAAAAAAAAACACGUCCGUUUCAACAACCAAUAGAAAAUUCAUUAGUUUUUCCUUUUUUAGGUCGAUCAAACAUCAUUUUCAUGAGAGAAAAUACUUCAAAAGGAACACUCAGGGUAAAGAAUACCAGACCAUGGCAGUCUUUUCUGUUUCUUUUAUCCAUGGGGUUACUUAGCUUAUGUCAAUUACCAACCUCGUUCCUUCUAAAUUAUUCAGCAUUUCUGACAGUCCAUCAUCUGAAAGGUGCUUCGGGUCGUCUUUUAUAUUCGAUUUUGCCAUAAAAUAAUCAAGAAAUCAUGCCAGUGUUACAUUUCUGUCUUCACAUUGUUGUUUGAUGUUUGCUUCGUAAAUUAUAUCUAUCCGUCAUCGAUGAUAACUAAGCAAUUCUAUUUGUCUUGGUCUUGACUAGUAGUUUGUGAUAAGAGCAAAAAUGGCUGCCAAAUUGCCGGUUCACCGCAUAUGUCUGCAACAGCAUCGCUACAGAAAGCAUUCCAAAUAUGUGCAGCUGCAAGUAAUAGUAUAAAUUCUCCCAUGAUGCACAAAAGCUUUGCUGGUACCAUGGCAGGUCCUGAACAGUCCAUUAGACCACCAUCUUUUGGAGGAAUUCAGUAGCGGAACACAUCUUACGGUCAUGCUUUCCAUCACAUUAUGAUCAGUCAAGCAUGGUUGGGAUCAGCGGGGGAGGAUUCUCCAACCCGCUCAUGCCAAAAAGCCCCAAUGAAAUGGCCCGACUUUUUAGUUCUGCCACAGGAAGCUCAGCAAUGAAUGAUAUGGCAAUUUUCACUAACAUGUUGAUUAACGGAGCUGACCAAAACCACUGCUUAAUGAAAGCCAUGGAACAUGAAGGUAAUGGUAACUCUAAUUUGUUAAAGGGAAGAACUCAGGCGAUAGAAAGGAACCAUCAAUAUUUGGAUCAAGCAGUGGAGGAAGUAACAUGACGACCCUUGAUUUUAUGGGGAUUGGAGGAUCAAGGUCAGCCAAUUUGCGUGAACAGUAGCACCAGCGGCAAAGAUUGGAAAUGGAAGCAAUAAGCCAAAAAAGAUUGCCAAUGAUAAACCCUUUCCAGCAACAGCGCUCACAGGGGGAUUCAGCUCUUGGAAAGGCCAUCUGGGGAUGUCUGAGAGCAACAGGUUUUUUUGUUACUUUUUGCUGUCAGCUGUCCCUGGAAGAUUUUCUUGCUCUUGAAUGGUGACAAUACUGAGAUGGCCACUUCGGCAUUGGAUAGAAAAUGGGUUUCACAGGGUCCACACUUACAGACCCAUCUAUCUAUCAUGAAACAAUGGGCAUUGAAUUUUUAAAUUCAUAAAUGACACAGUGCCCAAUGGGAGAGCCGUGUGUGGUCACGAUUCACGAAAUAACGUGGUCUCCACUCCUUCAGGACGUUUUUCUUCGAAGUAUCAGACAAAUAUGAAACUCCUUUUGUUUUGUAACCAAGAAGCCACCGCCAAUUUGGAUUGAGAAAAAGAAAGGCUGAUAAAAACUCACUUGACUGACUUGAGUAAGUUAUGUAAUCCUAAAAUGCAGAAAUAUGUUUAGAAGGGAAAGUGUUUUCCAUAAUGCCCCAUCGUCCUUAGUUCUUAUUUUUAUCUUUGUCUAGUCAAAAGGAAUACGAAAUAUUUCAUCCUAUCUAAUUUCUGCUUUUACCCCCCAAAGUAAAGAUCAAUCAUUUCCUUACUUUUGUUCCACAGGCUGGGAUUAAUUGCUAUUUUUUUUCUUUUCCAUUUUUCAAGUCAAUUUUUUAUGAAAUUAAUUUCAUUCAAAAUAGGUUACAUCUAACUAGGAAUCUUACGAUAGCUCACUCCCAUACAGUCAAACAACUACCUUAUUGUCGUUGAACUAGAAUUCUUAACCUCUUUCUCUUCCCAGUAAAAUACUCAUUUUCUUUACUUAAGCUUCUACCAUAAAAUUAGAGUUAACAAUCUUGUAAAAAUAUUGAAUUUCAUAUUCUUAUGAAAAAAAUAAAUAUAAUUAAAUUUUAAAAAAUAAAUUUAUAUUUAAUAAUUCAAUUACACAACAUGGAUAAAAUGUACCAAAAGUACCCAAAAAAAAAAGAGUGAAUAAAACUAUCAAUGUAUGGUUUCUCGUCAAAAUGAAGUGAAGCCUGAGGCCGAGCCCAUAAUUUCAAAACGGAAUCCUUUAAAGCCCAAAUAAAGCAAUGGCGAAAAGCCCAAACCAGUUAGAUAUCAACCGAGUCUAGUAAACACGAGUAGACUCGUAAUAAGGUCGGGCGCGCCCCUUCUCUCCUCUCAAUAGCGGGUGAAAAAUCCUAACCCUAGCCCUACUUUAGAUUUUUCUGUUUAUACGCGACAGCGAAGGCCAACACCGCAGCUGAAGCCAAUGCUAUGAAUUCGCUUCUUUUUUGCUUUUUUGUAGAUCCUUUAAUGCAUCUCAAUCUCUCCUCUUCCUCUCAGAGGCAUACCAAUUUUGGCAUUGAUAAGUUUUUAAAGCUUUGAUUUUGGUUUUUUUUGUUUUUGAAUGAUAAACGAGUGAAGGCGGUGAUGUUGAAAACUACCUAUUUUACGAAGGGUUUUUACGGCUUUUGUGAUUAGAGAAUCAGCAAUGGAUACUUCUGAGCCUUCUUAUCUUAUUUUGUUCAGUCUUAAUUUUUUGAAAUUUUUUUUUAAAAUUAUUGAUAGGUUAAUUUCGUGAAGUCGGAUUCAGAGUGAUUGAAAUGAUGAUAUCUUAUUCUCUGAAAAAUAUAAUGUGGAUUAAAAAAAUCAUACUAAAAUUAUCUGAUCAUUUGGCUCUCUAUUCCUCGUGUCUCUUUAUUUGCCUGUCUAUUUGCUUUUCUCUUUUCUUUAACAUUUUAGUAAUUCUUCUUGGAUUUUUUUUUACUGAAUUUUCUCACAAUAUUUUGCUUUUAGAAGGCAAAGUUUUAUAAUUCAGACUUCAUAAACAAUCAAACACUGAGAAAUUUUCAUCUCAUUUGCAUAAAGUACAACAACCAACCAAACAAGAGAGAUUUUCGCAGAAAAAGGUUGUAAACGAUGUUAUGGAAAUUUCAGUAAUUUUGCUUUUACAGAUACAAUGGCAUAAUCAAGAAAUUAAAAUUUUUUUUACAUAACUAAAAAUUUUGGCAUAACGAAUAACUUUUAUAUAAUGAAAUAUUUAUCGACAUAUUUAAAUUUUAAAAUUUUUAUUUAAAUUAUAAAUUUAUUAAUUAAUAUGAUAUUUUAAUGAUUAUUUAUUUGUUAAGUGUCACUCUUUGAAGUUAAAUGGAUGAGUCAAAUUAUGAUAAUGGCUCAAGUAUUCUAACGAAAUCUGAAAAUUAAUCUCUUUAUUAUAAUUAAUAAAAAUAUAAGUUUUGUAUUAUUUUUAUUUAAUAAUUUUAGUCAAUCAUUAAUUUAAUCAAAAUUUUAUUUUAUCGAUGCAAUAAUAUAGAUAAAUGAAAUCAAUUGUUAAGUUGUUUAAAUAGUUUAUAUGUUCACACGAAAUUUAAAAUUUAAUUUUUUUCAUAUACUUCAUAAAAAUUCUAUCUUCAUACAAAUUAAAUUUGAUAAUAUCAAUUCAAUUAUUAAUAUGAUCAAAAUCUAAAUUUUGGUUCCUCUUUUUAAUUUUAUUGCCUAACAAUUUUUAUUUUAGAAAAAAUUUAAAUUAAAAAGUCUUUAAAAUUUUUUUAAAAAUUUAAAAAAUUAAAAAUGAUAAAAUAGUAAAAAAAUAUAAAAAUUUUAGGUCUUUUCAAAUUUUUUGAAAACAUUAAAUUAAAUAUUUUCUAAUUUUUUAUUUUUAAAAAUAAUAUUUCUUGAAUUUUUUUGAAAAAUAAGGUUUAAUUUUAAAAAAGUUCAAAUUUAUGGAUUAUUUAGAAUUUUUUUUCAUUUUUAAAAAUAUUAAAUUUAAAUAACAUUAAAUUCAAAUAAUAUUUCUUUUAUUUUUUUAAAUUUCAAAUUUCAAGUUUUAAAAAUAUUUUUAAUUUUUAGAACUUAUUAAUUUUUUUACAAUAUUAAAUUUAAUUUUUUCCAAUAUUUUAAUUUUCAAAUAUUAAAUUUAAUAUUUAAAAAAAUAUAAAUUUUCCUAAAAAUUACAAAAUUUUAAAUUUUUUUAAAAAAAUUCUAAUUUUAUUAAAGAAAUUCAAAAUUAUUAAUUUUUUAAAAAAUAAAUACUUAAAAAUAUUUAAAAUUUUCUAAAAAUUGAAAAUUAUUUUUUUAAAAUGAAAUAUGUUUUUCCAUAAAAAUUUAAGAAAUAUUAUUUUUAAAAAAAGUAAAAUAUUAAAAAAUAAAAUUAAUUUUUAAAAAAAUAUAUAAAUAAUUGAAAAUUAAUUAUUUUAAAUUUGAAAUUCGGUUGUCAAAAAUUUUCAGGAAAUAUAUUUUUUCAAAAAAUUUAAAUGUUUUUUUUAAAAAGCUUAAAAAUCAAUUUUCUUAAUUUUUAGAGUUUUUAAAAUUUUUUACAUUUUUUAAAAAAUUUUGAAGAUGUUUUUUAAUUUUAGAUUUUUUUUUAAAAAUAACGAUCACGUCAAUAAAAUUAAUGAAAAGUAAUAUAUUAGUAAUUAGAGUGAUAUUAUAAAAUUUAAUUUGUAUAAGAAUAAAAUUUUUAUGAAUUAUAUUAAAAUGAUUAAAUUUUAAAUUUAAUAUAAAUAUUAAAAUUAUUUACAUAAUUCAAUAAUUAAUUUUAUUAUGCCACGAAUUUGUUUUAAUAAUGAAAAAAAUUUGUUUGUCAUAAAAAAAAGUUAAAAAAAUAUAAUAAUUUAAAGUCAAAGUUUUAAAAUAAUUCUAAAAAAAAGAAUAAUAGAUAAUGUUUAAAACAAUUUCAAAAAAAUAAAGGAUAAUAGAUAAUGUCCGAGUUACAGCAUAACAACUGGUGUGGACCCCUGACAGUCUAAUGACAUAAUUGAGAUAAAAUUUAAGAGCCCUUUGACUUGUUCAAUAUUUGGUACACCAGAUUAGUUUGUUCACUGUAUAUAAAUGUAAGAGGGUCAGCUGACCGCAGACUACAGCUGAAAAAAGUUUAUUCAUUUCCAAACAAGGACAGUAGAUUGUCAAUACAACAAAUAAAAAGAAUUAUACUUUUGCUUCUUGGAGUGCAUAUGAUAAUAAUACCAAAUCAAAUGUUUUUGGUUUUGGGUUGAAUUUUUAUCAACUUUAAGUAGAAAAUACGAAAAGUUUUUUUUUUUUCAUGGGAUAUGAAACAUAUAAAUAUUUCUUUCAUUUUUUUUAAUUCAAGUUCACAAGUACAAUAUAUCUAUAUAUUGAUUGAAACUUGUAUCAUUAAAAGUAUAUUUAUAAAAAUGAAUAAUUAUUAAAUAAACAUAAAACAUUGAUAGAAACUGUUUUAAUGCAAUUCAAGUUACCUUUCUAACAAUUAUCAGCUUUGGAUUUAAUACUGUCAGACUGCCAGGUGGAAGUCUGGGAACACCGAUAACAAAUUGGCAAAAGGCUCGCUGCUACUCUGGUGUAAAUUCCCCCAUAAUUUCAAGUAACUAUAAAAUCAUAAAACCAACAUAAUUAUGGAUCAAAUAUAGAUUUUAAAAUACCCAAAUGAGAGUCUUAUGAAAGAAACAUACAUUUAAGAUUUCAGAGGUCUUUGCAGUAUAUCCAUGAUCUAACUUUAUAUGAUCGGAUAGUGUCUCAGCUUGCAUUAUUAGAAGUUAUAUUGUUAAAAUCAAAGUGGAUAACCAGUUCUAAUCAAAGAAGUUAGCAAUAUUAUCACACAAUCCACCUCCCACAACUAUUUGCAACCACACAUCAAAUAGUCCAACUCUCGGGGGGUAAAUAUUUGUAAUGAUGCGAUAUCAAAAACCUACUUGCCAUAUAACAAAUUUAUUAACAUUGCAAUGAAUCCUAAAAUAGCUCCUUAAUUCAAGUAAGUAAAAAGAAAUCAACGAUGAACAUCAAACUUGUGAUCAGUCAAAGAAAAAUCAUAAUAAAGAAAAGCAACUUGGCCUGAUUGAAUCCAGCCUAAAUGCCUCUUAUUUUGCAACAUAAUUCCAGCCUCGACAGUUACAUCAACCACAAGGAUAUUAUUCUUCUAAGUUAUUGAUAUCAACCUGAUGUAGUUUGAACAAAAUGUUAGAAUAAUCUAUUGACAAAAAAAGAGGUGAGGAAAAAAUGAGAAGUUGAAAGUAAAAUUUCAUCCCCCAGCUUCAAUAUGUAGGUAGGAUUAACUGAGUGUAAAAAUAAAAUAGAAUUAUAUGAUCCCAUUGAAGCAUUAAGCUAUCCGCAAUCUAUAUUUGUACCACUCCAUUGUUCUCUCAACUCAAUGCAAAAUAUUUGGAAAAUAAAAACCAAAAAAAUCAGUUAACAAAAUUGAAUAUUAAAAAGAAAACAUAUAUUUUUAAUUACCAUCCUAUAAGAAGAUUGAGAUAACUCAGAAAUAACUCAUACAUCUACAACAUGCAAGAAACUUAAUUGCCUUAAUCAGAUUAUAAAAUUUAGUACUGACCACUUGAAAUUCAUAAACUUCUUUAGCUCUACUCUUCUCCAUCCCUAGCAUCUCUUUCUUCAGCAAAAACUGCCAUUAAUUCAUCAAAAUUUUUUGUCUUCUCCAAUAAUAUCUCGAUAUGAGAAAAUAAUAUAAAAACAUAUCUAUCAAUACCCAAGCUAAGAGGAAAGAUAAAACUUAGUAUUACAAUGACUAUAAUAUUUUGGUUAAAUCAGCACUAAUAACAGGUUGUGUUAAAUAAAUAAAAAUUUAAUAUUGAAUUCUCCUAUAUCACUUUUAAACUUUAACUUUAUCUAUAAAGAAUUAAUAUAUCUCAGCUUGCAAAUAAACCAUGGAACAUUCAAAAGGAAGCAUGAUGAGCUAUUAAGCCGAUUUACUUUUGCUUUUUGGACAGGCCACCCUCUAGAGUCCUCUUUCAUAUCAACCGUUAAGAUUGUAAUCUUUACAAAGCUACAGCUUGAUUGCAAUAAUUAUCAAAACUCAAUGGCUAUAUAAACACAUUUUUUAAAUAAAUUAAAAAAUAAAAAAAGUGAAAAACAUCUUACUCUACUCAACAACCAAACCAUUGUUUUUCAUAAUUUCUCCAAUUAUGAUGACUGUUGCAAUAACUGCAUAUAUGACAUGAUAAAUAAAAAGAAUAAUUAACAGUAUUUCUCAAAAAGUAGCAUACAUAAUUGAUUUAGGUUUCAUCUAUGAAUAAUUAAGUCCAAAAAUAAAUUCUAAGCAGCACCACCAGAAAAAUUAAGUCACAAACACUUUAUACUUGAGAAAAACAAAGUUGAGAAAAGCUUUAAAGCAAAGAUAUUUUGGAUAAAAACUGGAGGCAACUGGAAACCAAGCAAUUGUAAAAACUUCUGUGCAUUUAACUGAAAAUCAAGAUCAAUGGCAACAAUGAAAGUUUAUGAUAAUGAUACCAACCUUCAUUACUUAAACAUAAAGAAUUUCUAACAUGUAACAAAUUAGGAGCUUGUAUAACAAUAAAGUAAAAAUAUAUGAUUAGAACAACAAAAAACAUUUCAUGUUAGUACUCUUAUAAUUCGAUGAUGCUAAUGAAAAAAAAAAGAUACAUUAACAGCAAUGAUCAUUUGGAUUGAAAUAAAAUAUUAAACAAACUAAAUUGUUCAAUUUAAGGAAAAAAAAAAAAGAAAACCAAAGAGCCAGAAAAGGUUUUUAAAAAGACACUAAUUUAAGGCAAUAUGAAAAUUAAGAGAAAAAAAUGGAAAAUUUCCCUUAAUAUCCUAACAUUCCCCAAUAAACAAUAUAUAUAAAAACCAUUUUGAAUCCCAAAAAUAAAGUCCUAUACAAAUCCAAUAUCAAUCACGUAUUCAUGUCUUUACAAUAAAUUCAUCCCAAAGAAUAUAAUCCAAGGUACUAUCAAAUGUCAAGAACAAACCCAAAUUAAAGGCACUAAAUAAUAUCUUCUUGAUUGAACAACUCAUUGAAGCAUUAAAUCUUGUAAUCAAUAUAAUAUAGGAUGAUAUAUGCAAGGAUGAGUUAUGAGGUGCUGAGAGAUUUCCUGUUUGUUUAAUGGUACAAUGAACUUCAUUUUCUAUUUUAUUCUAGCACAGUGUAGAGGAAAUUACGUGAGAUAUAGGUAGGCAGAAAGUACAGACUGCUUGAUUGAAAUAUAAAGCCUUUAGUCUAUGAGAAAUUACAGAUUCAGUAGAAUCAUGUUCUUUGAAGUUUGAACAAAGGGUUUGCCAAACAUGUCUCAUAUCAACAACCCUCAUUCAUCUAAAAUCAGUAAUAUAUGCUUCAAAUUUCACUUUUCCAAUCUCCAACCAGUAAUUGCAAAUAUGAAUAAUCAUCAUGAAAAUGGUGAGUAAGUAACCGCAGGUAGAAAAUUAACGCAUGAAAGAAGCAAAGCAUAAACAAAAUUAGAUGAAUAAUCUCAAGGAAGCAUAAAUUUAACAUAAAUUUCAAUUUAAAUAGAAAAUUUCAAUUUGUAUUACUUACUCAUCAAAGCAUUUGAAAUCCUCAUCCUUGAAGGGAACUAUUCUAGCCAUUUCACAUUCUGAUACCUGUGAAGUAAAGUGAAGGGAUUUGGCAUCUUAAUCAGAAAGAAUAACAAUUUCCAUUUGAAUUUUAGUGAUGAAAUAUAGUAUUAGAACUAUGGUGGACUCACGAGUUCAUUAAUGUUUCAAAUUUCAACUCCUCCAUAACCCACCAACAUAAUUCAAAAUGCAUGAAAAAGAAACCCAUAAAACAAAUCAUCAAAAGAAUUAGUCAACAUUAUUAAAUGAACAUAAAACAUUGAUAGAAACUGUUUCAAUGCAAUUCAAGUUACCUUUCUAACAAUUAUCAGCUUUGGAUUUAAUACUGUCAGACUGCCAGGUGGAAGUCUGGGAACACCAAUAACAAAUUGGCAGAAGGCUCGCUGCUACUCUGGUGUAAAUUCCCCCAAUAAUUUCAAGUAACUAUAAAAUCAUAAAACCAACUUAAUUAUGGAUCAAAUAUAGAUUUCAAAAUACCCAAAUGAGAGUCUUAUGAAAGAAACAUACAUUUAAGAUUUCAGAGGUCUUUGCAGUAUAUCCAUUAUCAAACUUUAUGUGAUCAGCUAGUGUCUCAGCUUGCAUUAUUAGAAGUUAUAUUGUUAAAAUCGAAGUGGAUAACCGGUUCUAAUCAAAGAAGUUAGCAAUAUUAUCACACAAUCCAAGUGUCAAAUUACCUCCCACAACUAUUUGCAACCACACAUCAAGUAGUCCAACUCUUGGGGAGUAAAUAUUUGUAAUGAUGCGAUAUCAAAAACCUACUUGCCAUAUAACAAAUAUAUUAACAUUGCAAUGAAUCCUAAAAAUAGCUCCUUAAUUCAAGUAAGUAAAAAGAAAUCCACGAUGAACAUCAACUUGUGAUUAGUCAAGAAAAAUCAUAAUAAAGAAAGCAACUUGGCCUGAUUGAAUCCAGCCUUAAAUGCCCCUAUUUGCAACAUAAUUCCAGCCUCGACAGUUACUCGUAUAUAAUUACUUCCCCCAUUCCUUCUCCGAUUAUACUUUCUUUAGCGCUAGGCUUAGGGUUUAUUUUUCAGAAGUGCUCUCAAUUUCGAUCGUAUUUCUGGUACGUACUUUCCUAUUUUUUGAGCUAGGGUUUUGCUUCUCUAUCUUUUGUCCUUUUCUUUUUUAAAAAGAUUAUCUUGAUUCUUAGUUAUAUUUCACAACUCCCAUUGAUCUUUGCGUGUUUAUUUGUAAUCUGUAAUCUCAGUUUCGCGGUUCUUCUUUCUUUUGAAAUCGUAAUCAACUAUAGGUUUUUCCUUUUUCAUUUAACCUUGUGAGCCACGGCGUUUAAUGUGACAUUGUUUAGAAAUUUUGCUUUUCGCAAUUUUUUUUUGCUCCCUCUGAUUUUGUUGUUAGCGUUUUCGUCAAUGUUUGGAUGUUCAUGUUAUAUUAUUUUUUAAUUUAUCCAUAUAGAUUUUAUUUGUGUCUGAAUUUUUGUUUGCCCAUUUCAUGCUAAGGUUUUGUUAAUUUUUGUGGUUUGAUUGUUUGGUAUUCGACGUUAUGAAUUUUUUUGUUAUAUGCUUUUACAGAUUUUAAUUUUAAGAAACCUUAGCUCCUAUUUACACAAUGGAGCGCACGACUAUUGAAUUGGAUCAGGGAUGGGAUUAUAUGCAGAAGGGGAUCACAAAGCUGAAGAGGAUUUUGGAAGGAUUGCCAGAACCUCCAUUUAGCUCAGAAGAAUAUAUGAUGCUUUACACGUAUCACUAAUUACUUAUUUUCAGUUUUGUUGAUUCUUUUUGAGCCACGGACUUAUUAUUUAUAAUCAUCUGGUAUAUUUUAUCCUCAUCAUCUUUCCUUAAUUGGAACCACUACAGGACUAUCUUCAACAUGUGUACUCAAAAGCCACCUCAUGAUUAUUCUCAGCAGCUUUAUGAGAAGUGCCGAGAGGCAUUUGAUGAAUAUAUUACAUCGAUGGUAAGGAAUUUAGAGUCUUGUCUGCCUUCACUUGGUUGCUGAGUACUGACUAGUCUGUGUAGAUAGAUAGUGAUUUAUAUAAAACUCAGUUUAUUAUGGAGGCAUUGUUUUACUGCUAUGAUUUCAAGGAUGUUAAUGUAAUUAGUCCUCUCUUGGGGAAUUAUUGCUGAAAUCCUCCCUUUUUUUUUUUUUUUCCUUCUUUGCAUGACAAAGGGAUUUGACCAACAUCUUUUAGAAUGCAUAUUCCAUGGAGUGAAAGCAAUGCUAUAUUUCAUUUACUUUGUUUUAGCUUCUAUAUUCCAAGAGCUUUGGUUGCAUUUGUUUGAUGUUUUCUAUAUUAUAUUGUUUUUUAAAGAUUGUAAUAACUCAUUUGCUUUGUUGAUUUUUUAAGCUCCAUGGUUUUAUUGUUUGAUACUUUUGCAAAUUCUUCUUUUACUAGCUUUCUUCUCAGUAGGAACCCUUGAAAGUUUUUUAUCCAUCCAUCUACUUUGUGUGGUAAAUAUGCUUUUUGCUCAUAUUUCCUCCUUUUUAAAAUAGGUAUUACCAUCUUUAAAAGAGAAGCAUGAACUGAGGGAGCUUGUUGAAAGAUGGGCAAACCAUAAAGUGAUGGUCAGGUGGCUAUCACGCUUCUUCCAUUACCUAGAUCGCUAUUUCAUUGCCCGCAGAUCACUUCCUGCACUUAAUGAAGUUGGCCUGACCUGCUUCCGUAAUCUGGUUUGUUAUUAGUUCUUCUAAUGACACAUUUAUCCAAUACUAAUUAUGGUGUAAUGAGUUGGAUUUUGAGAAUUGUGCUGCCCAUUAUUUCAAAUAUGCUCUUAACUAAUUGUAUACUAUCUAUUUUACUAAUCUCAGGUAUAUCAAGAAGUGCAUGACAAAGUCAGAGAUGCUGUAAUUGUCCUUGUAAGUUUCCAUCAUUAUGUCAUGGUUAAUUGUAUUUUUAGGUUGCAUUUUGAAUAAAAACUAAAGAGUAACAGUUACUUCAUAUCAGAUUGAUAAAGAACGUGAGGGAGAGCAGAUAGACCGAGCAUUAUUGAAGAAUGUGUUAGAUAUUUUUGUUGAGAUUGGCAUGGGCCAAAUGGUUCGUUAUGAAGAUGAUUUUGAAGCAGCUAUGCUUGAGGAUACUGGUGCCUACUACUCACGGAAGGCAUCAAGCUGGAUUGAGGAUGAUUCUUGUCUAGAUUACAUGUUGAAGGCAAGUACUUUGCUGUUCCUGCAUUUAUAUUUUUAUAGGUUAUAAGUUUUUCACCUUGAUUAACCCGGAUGGUUCUAAUUGUUUUUAUUUUAAUGAUAAUUGCAGUCUGAAGAAUGCUUGAAGAAGGAAAGGGACAGAGUGUCUCAUUACCUGCAUUCAAGCAGUGAGACAAAAUUGUCAGAGGUCAGUUGAAUGGUUGGAAAGUUAUAGUUUAAUGAAGAGCUUUUUCUGUGAGCUUUAGCUUGGCUUGAAGGUGCACUUUUUUUUCUUCGGAGAGAAAAUCUGUUUAAUUUUCUUCUAUAAGAGGUGACUUAAAUGAAUAGUGUUUGAUGUGUGAAACGUUGUCACUAAGAUAUUACAAUAGAAGUUGUGUGAAUUCUUUUCAAGUGGAAAGAUCUGGUUGCUUUUAUCUAUUUUCUUCCAGCUACCUAGAAAUGGAGAUUGCAUGUUUUUGAGUUAUCCAAUGACAUGGAAUAAUAUAGGCAUGUGAUAAGAAUAAACAGAGACUUCCUAUUAAGACAGCUUUAUAAUUCCUAGAGCACUCUACUUAUAGCUGUUUGUUCUUUAUCUAGAAAGUGCAACAUGAGUUGUUGGUCGUGUACGCAAAUCGGCUACUUGAAAAGGAGCAUUCAGGAUGUAGGGCCUUGCUUAGAGAUUACAAGGUAUCAUCCAACCUUGUUUCUUUGCUAGCAAUGCUUACUCUUCUGGCUGUUUGCUUUGGAAAAUAUAUAAAUCAGAUAGUUAUUUGGCUUUGUUUACACUCUGUAGCUGGAGGAUCUCUCUAGGAUGUACAGGCUUUAUUGUAAAAUGCCUCGAGGCUUGGAUCCUGUUGCUAAUAUAUUCAAGCAGGUCUGAAUAUCCUGUUUAUUCUGCAAGCUAAAUGCCCAUCUUUCUCAUGUUACUUUAUGAUUUUACUGACUCUUUGUGAGUAAUUACUUUUUGCAGCAUGUUACAGCUGAGGUUACAGCCUUGGUUCAACAGGCAGAAGAUGCUGCAAGUAACCAGGUUAAUUGCUGGAUACAUUUAUUGAUUUCCUUCUAUACUAGAAGAUAAAUCAUGAAGAUUUUUUCUGGAUUGUAAUUGUGUGCUUGUGAGGGGAUGAAAUCCUUUUCUUUUAGACUAAUAAAAUGGGUACAAGAGUAGUAUUUAAACAUAUCAGUGUGGCAUGUUGAUUUUUAUCUUCAUUUGUUAUUGUGGUUGUGCAGUUCUUGUAACUGUUAAGUUUGAUUUGCCUUUGACAUGCCAAUAUUCCCAUUUUAUUUCUCUUUAGGAAAAAGAGAGUUAAUUCCAACUACUACAGACUAAAAUUUUCCCACAAUUGAUGGAAAAAUAGAUGAUCAUAUUCAUUUUUGUUUUGAAUAAUCACCUGUCUGGUUCUAAGUGCUGAUAUUCACUCAUUUCCACUGGCCUCAAAUGCUCCUGGUGUGCAGGAACUGGUAAAUAUCCCAACUUUUACAGCUAUGGAUUCUUUUGAAAUCUGUAAAAAUGUUGAAAAUUGUUACUUCUGUCAUUGUUAGGUCCUUAUCAGGAAAAUUAUUGAGCUGCACGAUAAGUACAUGGAGUAUGUGACUGACUGCUUUAAAAACCAUACUCUGUUCCACAAGGUUCGUGUUGGAACACCUAAAUUUGUAAUAUGGAUCUGGUUCAGUCAUGUUAUCUAAAAUAUGCUUCGUUGAAAUGUUCAAUAGGCAUUGAAAGAGGCUUUUGAGGUAUUUUGCAACAAAACUGUUUCUGGCAGCUCAAGUGCUGGGCUUUUGGCAACUUUCUGUGAUAAUAUCCUGAAGAAGGGUGGAAGUGAGAAAUUAAGUGAUGAAGCCAUUGAAGAAACACUUGAGAAGGUAGCUUUAUCCACCAUUUUUAUACUGAAUUUAUGGUGAUCUGAAAUUGAUUCUGAACUAUCUGUUUGGUUUCUGCAGGCAGUUAAGCUGCUUGCCUAUAUUAGUGACAAAGACCUCUUUGCUGAAGAAUUCUACAUGUGAGGUUUUUUUUUGUCAAUUAGUUUCAUAUCUGCUUGUUUUUAAAAAAGAAAAAAAAAAAAAACCCUUUAAAGGCAUGAGUUUGCAUGGUACAUUUUGAUCCUAACUUUAUGGUGUGCAAAAUCAUUGACAGGAAGAAACUCGCUAGGCGACUGCUUUUUGACCACAGUGCUAAUGAUGAUCAUGAAAGGAGUAUUCUGACUAAUCUAAAGCAGCAAUGCGGUGGACAGUUCACCUCGAAGAUUGAGGGCAUGGUGAGUUGGCCUGAGUUUUGCUUGGUUUAUUUUUCUGCAUUAAUUAUGGUUUAAAUUGUGAUGAAACUUGUCUUCUACCUUCAUGACAGGGGACAGAUCUGACAUUGGCAAGGGAAAACCAGGCCAGCUUUGAGGACUAUCUUAGAAAUAACCCAGCUGCACAUCCUGGGAUCGAUUUAACAGUUACUGUUCUUACCCCAGGAUUCUGGCCAAGUUAUAAAUCAUUUGAUCUCAAUCUCCCUGCUGAGAUGGUAAUGACUGCUAACAUUUUAUUGUAUGAUGACAGAAUUAGAGCUCUUACUUCAGCAUGUCUUCAGAAAUUUUAUUUGUUUCAGGUCAAGUGUGUGGAAGUUUUCAAAGGAUUUUAUGAAACAAAAACAAAACAUAGAAAGCUUACAUGGAUAUACUCUCUGGGAACUUGCCACAUUAAUGGCAAGUUUGAGCAGAAAACUAUCUGAGUUGAUUGUUUCAACUUAUCAGGUAAACCGACUCUGUAAACUGUGUGCGCUUUUUAAAUUAAAAAAUUGUGAUUUGGGUUGGAUUUAUGUCUUUGUCUUGCUGGGUUGCGGUGUUGAACUUUGAUUGUGGAAUCUAAUUUCCGGUUGCCUAUGUAAACAGGCUGCUGUCCUCCUCCUGUUUAAUGCUUCUGAUCGGCUGAGCUAUUCAGAGAUCAUGGCUCAGUUGAACUUGGCCCAUGAUGACUUGGUCAGGUUACUACAGUCGCUGGCAUGUGCCAAGUAUAAGCUUCUAAGUAAAGAGCCAAACACAGAAACCAUCUCCCAGAGUGAUUACUUUGAGUUCAACUCUAAGUUUACUGACAAGUUGAGGAGGAUUAAGGUCUGGGAUAGUUUUGCAACUCUCUUUUAUGUUAUUAUUGCUUUUGGUAUUUAUUUGAAUGAGAAGUUCUACCUUUGGAAAUAACCUUGUAAACUAUCCUAAGUAGGUUCCUCUCCCUCCAGUGGAUGAAAGGAAGAAAGUUGUUGAAGAUGUUGAUAAAGAUCGGCGUUAUGCUAUUGACGCUGCAAUUGUGCGCAUAAUGAAGAGUAGGAAAGUUUUGGGCCACCAACAAUUAGUUUCAGAGUGUGUUGAGCAGUUGAGUCGCAUGUUCAAGGUAUUAAUAUACGCUAACCCUUUAUCUGGCAGUUUGUGAGAGAAACAUUAGAUGUAUAGAUGGGGAUAUCAGGUUGCCUUAACUGACAGAAAACCACACACAGGCACAUGCAAGCCAAACAUACACUGUAUGAAAAUAAUCUUUUAAAGAAUGAAAAGCUAGAGGACAAAAUGAUCUAUGAGAUUUGUGUAGAAAGGUGGAAAAAUGAAUGGUUCUCUUAUCCAAAGGAAGUUUGUUUUUGAGAAUGAUGCAUUUAAAUAAAAGAUGAGAGGUGAUAGAUUUUUAUUUUGAAUGAAAAGUGAUGAAAUGGAAGGAGUGGGGUUAUCAAAUUGGAUAAAAACAUCGACUUUUUUAUAGGUGAUUAACGUGUUGUGUUUCUGUGAUCAAACACAUGCACGGAAACUGGAAAGUAAUAGGUGAUAGGUUGUUUAAUUACAUAACUUCUUAGUAGUUGGUACUAAUUACAUAGGAUUUGGUUGGGAUUUGCAGCCUGAUAUUAAAGCAUCAAGAAGCGGAUGGAGGAUUCAUCACACGAGACUAUCUGGAGAGAGACAAGGAUAAUCAAACUUGUUUAGGUACUUGGCCUAAUAGGUCCUUCCCAAUGGAACGUGGAAGUGGUAGUCAGAUGGAUUUACAAUGCUCCUCACUGAAAUCCACAUAUUUUUUUCUGGUACCUUGUGUAAAAGUUCAACAAGUUUUAAUUGUCUAUUGAAAUUUAAAUAGUGUUUCACUUUAAAUUUUAUCAGUAUGAAUAUUACAUGAGUAGUUAACUUUUUAAUUACGUUUAUUCAGUGUCUCACAUCUAUACAUAUUUUGAAAAAAAUUCUCAAUGAAAUUAUCAAAUUAUUGUCUUAUUAUUUGAUAAAAAAUUGACACAUGAUCAAUUAUUAUUAUGUUUUUAUAUCAUAAUUAUGAAAAUAUUUUUAUGUUAUAAUUAUUUUCUAUAAUAUCCUUAUUUCAUAUUUACGGGAAUAUUUGAUUUUUAAAUUAAUUGUUAUACUUUUAUAUCAUGAUUAUAAAAAUACUCAUAUACAAUAGUUAUUUAUUAUAAUAUCUGCAUUCUAUAAUUACAGAAAUAUUUCUUUGCUUAUUAUUGAAUUAUAAAAAUAUUUUUUUAUUAUUGAUAAAAAUUAUUAUAAUAUUUUUAUAUCAUAAUUAGAAAAUAUUUUUUCUCAUAAUUGAUUAAAAUUAUUAUAAUAAUGUUUUUAUCAUAAUUAUGAAAAUAUUUUUAUGAAUAUUUAAUAAGAAGUAGAUAUGUGAUUUUUUAUUGUAACAUAUAUUAAAAUAAUUCUUUUGAUAAUCAUAUCUAUAUAUAUUAUAUUACAAUAUACAUAAUUUUUAGAUAAAAUUUAUUGACAUGGAUGUUUGUAUGAUUUUUUUUUUACGCGUAAAAAAAUUUCUUAAAUUUCUUUCUUUAAGUAUACAUAAGAUAUUUAUUAAUUUUAAAUUAUUUAUUAAAAAUAUAUUUAAAAAGUUAUUAAAUUAUCUAAAAAUUUUAAAAUUUAAAUAAAAAUCAGUUUAAAUUCAAAUAAAAUUUUCUUAUCUCAUGUAUUACCUCAUCUCUCGUAACAUUCAACAAACCACUCAGAUGAACUUCCCAUUUAAAUGUAAGUUUUUUCAUUUUAAAUGGUCUUCCACUUUCUGUCAUGCUCCUGAGUAAUUUUAAAAAUGUUUUCAAUUCUCAGCUAAAUUAUCUUGGUUUUUAAUUUGUCAUCUCACAACUGCUUACUUCUCUCACGCCUCUUUACAUGGCACCUAAAGGACACCUACCAUCUACUUUCUUUUUUAGUCCUUGGAGUGACGUUCUGAGGUUGUUUGCAGGGAAGAAAAAAUGACUGAGACAAAAAGUUUAGCAGUGGUGCGCAGUAGGCAAAUGGGUUCUGGCAUAGCUCAGCUUGGUGCCAUGCAUGGUCUCUAUGUUUGGCUCCUUGAUACUGACCCUGUUGCACUUUCUAGAGCCUCCAAAGCUAUAUAUUUUUCCCUUCAAUGUUUUGUUUCCAAAGGUCAUCUGCCUCAAGUAAAAUUGGUUUUUUUUUUUUUUUCAUCUAAUUUGUUGAUUGUUUUAAGUUUGGUUUUAAUGUGAUUCGAAGUCUUGAAUCAGGAGAUUCUUUUAAGUUUAGCACUCGAUCUUCUGACAGUUUGUAGUUAUACCAUGUUUGUACAUGUUGAUGAAUUGAAUAAAUAGUUUUGUUAAAGGGAUUCUUUUUGAUGAAAAGAUGUUCUUUUUUUAAUGUCAAUAUGAUUGAAACUUGGAUUGGAUUUAAGUUAAACCAGGUUGGUUGGUCUUGGUUAGAGCUUAGAUCAAAGUUAAUAGUUUUAGUGCUGCUUUAGCCAAGAAUCUGGCUUGAGUGUUUGUUCCUAAGAUUCUACACUUAACAUACUUAAUUCAACAUUAAUUUUUUGCAGUUCAUUGAUAGUGAAAAUUUGAGAAAGUUGGUAGCUGAAGUAUUGGAUGGAAGGAUUGGGUGGUUGAACUUAUUGAUGAGAUGAUUGUUUAGGUGUCAACUAGGGCUCUUUCUCGAUAUUAUGUCAGUGUCCAAUUUGGGUUCUUGCGAAAAGUUUCACUGUAAAUUUUUGGAGGAAGAAGUUGUUAGAGGUUUAAUUGAACCAGUGCAUAAGGUAUGCUAAUAAAUACUUCUGGUGUGAUAUUGUACUAAAGCUUGUGAGAGAAGUAGGCGUUUGUGGAUAUUCCUAUUAAAGUGCUAUUAAAUUAACAAGUCAUGAAGCAUGCUAUAUUUUAUUUUUUUAGACAAAUGAAAUUUUUUUUUGUUUUUAUUUAACAUGUUUAUACUAUUUUUAUAUUAAAUGAAAAUUAGCCAGUAAAAAUAUAAAAAAUAGAAUAUAGUAAUUAUUAUUAUUAUGAUUAAAUUUUUUUAAUAUUUUAAUUCAAAAUUGAUAAUAAUUCAAUUUCUAUAAAUCAAAAAAUAUCUUUUAAAAUUUAUUAAAUUAUCUAAAACUUUAAAAUUUAAUCAAAAAUCAAUUUAAAUUUUAAUAAAAUUUAUUUUUUCUGUACAUCACCUCAUCUCAAUUUAAAACUAAUUUUAAAAUAAUUUAUCUUUUUCAAUUUAUGUGAAGUUAACAUGAAUAUUUAAAUUUAUCAACUUAAAUAAUUUAAUAUCUUUAAUAUUUUUUUAUAAAUAAUCAUUGUAUUAUCUUCAACUUUUAAAUAUAUUUUUAAAAAAUGUAAAAAAAUAUAUAAAUACCAAAAUAAUUUCAAGAAAGUUUAUCCUAUACAUUAUUUUAUCUCAAUUUAAAACUAAUUUUAAAAUAAUUUAUCUUUUUAAUUUAUCUGUAGUUGACAUGAAUAUUUAAAUUUAUCACGACCUUUAAAAAUAUUAUUUAAUAUCUUUAAUACUUUUUAUAAAUAAUACUUACAUUAUCUUCAGCUUUUAAAUAUAUAUCACAAAGGAAAUGUGAAAAAAAUAUAUAUAAAUACCAAAACAACAUUAGGAAAGUUUCUCAUGUACGUCAAGUUUCUUGUACAUCAUAUCAUUUCAAUUUAAAACUAAUUUUAAAGUAAUUUAUUUUUUCUAAUUUAUCUGUUAGCUUUUAAAUAUAUUUCACAAAUGAAAUGUGGAAACAACUUUAGGAAAGUUCUCAUUGAUGGUAGUUCUUAGUUACAUAGCUUUUCUAAUAUCCCAUUGAGUUAAACGUAUUUUUUCCUACUAUUAAUUUACUCUCUCUUUUUAUUAGUCUAUUUUCACUAUAGGAACUAACAUGUUUUUUCUAAUAAUAUGUACUAUUUUACUAAACAUACUAUUUACUUUAUCAUGUAUGAUUUUCUUUUUUCAAAUCGAUCGUAAUUUUUUUAAAAAACUACAAAACACAUAUUUUUAUAUUUUUACCUGUAUUGUCUGCAAACCUUUUAUUUUCUUACGGAUUCUUCACUCAAUCACGUAAUAUAUUUUAUCUUUCAAAUGAUUAUUUAUUCAAUAUUUCUCAUUCGUAUAAAAUGAAAAAUGAUGUUCUGAUUAAUUGAUAUAAUAGAGUUAUGUAUCCUAAACAUGUAACAUAAUUUCAAAUCAAGAGAUUAUUUUUCAUAAAAAAUUUUUUUUUAAAAAUUUCAGGAAUAGUCUCAUCAAUAGUAUUAAUUUUAAGUUCAUUUAUAUUUUAGCUUAAAAAAAUCUCAGAACCAUAAAAUAUUUCACCAAAAUUCCUGAAAAAGAAUGUAUAAAUCUUAUGAUAACUUUGUAAUUAUGGAACAUAUGAUGUUUUAUAGCCGUUAGCAAAAUUUAAAAAGAAAAUAUUAUUUUUAUUAUGAUUUGAUAUUUUAAUUAUAUUAUUUAUAUGUUACAAAUACUUUGAAAAUGUAAAUAAUUCAAUAAUAUCAAUUUAUAUUUUUAUUUAAAUUUAAAUAAAAUAAAAAUAAUCGAUGCAUCGCAUAAGGGAGCAAACUAGUUAUUAUAAUAAUAAUUUAUUUAUUUGAUAUAAUGUUGACACGUGUCUAAAUUUAUUAAAAUAUUUUUUUAUUAUAAUUGUGAAAAUAUUUUUUUUAUAAUUAGUUAAAAUUAUUAUAAUAUUUUUAUAACAAUUACAAAAAUACCCCUUCUAAUAUAAUUGGUUAAAAUUUGAUGUUCGGAAUUUUGUUUAAAAUUUACUAUAAUAUCUUUAUAUUAAAUAACAUAAAUUAAAAUAAUUUCCAUAGAAAUUAAUAUCAUACAAUUUUAUUUAUUUGAUAUAAUUGACAUGUAUCCAAAAUUAUUAUAAUGAUGCCGUUCUACCAUAAUUACAGAAAUAUCUCUCUUCUCAUAAUCAAUCAAAAUUAUUAUAAUGUCUUCCUAUCAUAAUUACAAAAUGCUCUUCCUAUUAUAAUUGACCAAAUUUAUUAUUAUCUCUCAUCCGAUACUUAUGAAAAAACCUCUUUUAUUAUAUUUAGUUAAAAUUACUAUAAUGCUUCUUAAACCAUACUUACAUAAAUGAUAUUAUAAGUGGUUUACAAGGAGUUGACAUGUGAUAUUUUGUUUCAAAAUUAUUAUAAUAAUUUUUAUUAAAUCACAUAUUAAAUUUUAAUAUAAUAUAAAAUUAACCAUAUUAAAUUACUAAAGUACCUUACCAUUACUUUAUUAAAUUUAACGUGUAAUAUUUUAUUAAAAAUAAUUAAAACUAAAUUGUCAAAUGAGUUAGAUAAUUAUAAUUUUUAUUAAAAUAAAAAAUUAAAUAAUUUAUAUUUUAAAAUAAAAAUAUUUAAUUCCCAACAUAGUGGGUACCACACCCUAAUGAAACAAGAAAAAUAUCCUCUUAUAUUGGUUGUUGGGCCAUGAGAUUGAACAUCGCUUUGAAAUUGAAGAAAGGUUUUUUAUUGCAUUGUGCAAAGUCUGCAUUUAACUUUAUAGAAAGAUUAUCGCAUGAAAACUAGUAGGAGUAAAAGCAGUUCAUCUUUUAUUCAAUGUAAAACCAUCUAUAUAUUUAUGGCAACUAUUAUCUUGUGUUGGUUUGGUGUUUCUUUCACUUUAAGCUUAAGAUAAUUUAUUUCCCAUUCCAAAAAUCUUUUAAUCUGAUUCAUAUAAUUUUCAAUGUCACUUUAUCUUAAUUCCUAUAUAAAAAAAAGCCAAAUAUAAAAGUAUAAUCAUCAUAUUUAAUUAAUAUGACAUGGUACUUUCACAUGAUUGUUCAAUUAGUAUAUCGUCAUCCAUAAAAUAUAAAAAAUACAGAUCAAACAUAUAUAUAUUUUAACUUUACAGCCCUUCUCUGCUCGUCUUCCUUUGCCUGUUAAUUAAGUAUAAAUCUUAUUCAAAGAAGUCCAUUCAACACGUGUUACAUUAAUCAGGUAGGAUUUCUCUUUGCCCAUGCUUAUUUUCAUAUAUUGAUAGGUCAUGCAUUAAAUCCCAUGGGUGAUGACACUUAAAUGGAUAUUGUUAUUGAUUAUUUGAAUGUUGAUUGAAAAUUUUUUUUUUUAAAUGUGAAUGAUAAAUAUAAAAUUUUAAGGUCACGGAUGAAAAUUAUUAAUAAUAUAAAAUUCAAUGCUAGUAUGGCAGAAGACCUCUAUGAUUAAUUUUUAUCCAUAUGGCUGAUUUAAGUAUGGACAAUUAAGACUGCAAAAGCAUGGCAAUAAAACAUACAGAAAUGCAAUAAUGGUAAGACCUUCGACAUCAAUUCAAGGAAAAAAAAAAAAAGAAAAGCGAAGCAUAAGCUUUCAGGUGAUCUUUCUAUUUUUUUCCCCCUCUUUUUAUUGUCUUGUUAUUAUAUUUUUUUUGUGCAAUUUGAGUAGGAUUUGUUUUUAUACUUGUGUUUUGAAUUAAUCCUAUAGAGCAAAUUGCCCUUAUGUUCUGUUCUAUGCAUUUUGAACUUCAUUUGCGUCUUCCUUUGAAUUAUUAUAUUAAUCUUAUACUAUCUUUGAGUUUUCUCACUAAUGGAUGGAUAUUCUUGGAGUUUUUUUUUUUUUGUUAACUUCUAUGGAACUGAUUUUGAACUCUGAUUAUUUAGGUGGGAAAUUUUGUCUACUUCUUUGGAGAGGGCUAAAGAAUAACUUCAGUUUCACAAUUCAACUUUGAUGUGAAGUAUCACUGUAAGUUGAUGAAACCAUGGCUGUUGAAGAAUGUCAAGACAAGUUACUUCUAUAUGUUCUAUCUUAAUGCUUACGUCAGCAACAUUUUAGAUGUUAUGUCAUCUUAGUUUACAUAUAAUUGUUUAAUUAUUCACAUCAUCAUAACAUAUAUGUAUAAUUAUAGCAUAUUUAUUUGGUAUUUUAUCUACUCUCUUCUCUCUUUUCGUGUAUUUUUUUUUGAAGUAUUGAAGCAUGUCUAAAAAUAUUAUUUUUGAUAUCUUAAUAUUUUUAUGAUAAAUUUGAUACACUUUUUGUUUUAAUUUCUAACAAACUCUUCGGUGAUCAUACUAAUGAUAUAUUAAUAUAUAUAUAUAUAUCUCCUAUUAAGAAAUUUGAAGUGUCUUAAAGUAAUUAAUUAUAUGAUUUGCCUUAUUCGUGUGACCAUAGUUUCAUUGCUUUACCUUAUCUUAGUAAUGGUCUAAUGCCUCUAAUUAUGGUUGCGUGUGUCAAUCUUUUCGACAUCUAUGGCAGCUCUUUGACAAUGAGUUCAUACUACACAAAAUAGCUGAACAUAACUCAAAACUUAUGCCAGCCUAUUUUGCAAAUGUGUUAAGGCUAUAAAUAAACAAUAGCCAUUCUCUUAUAUUUCUUUUUCAACGUAUUUUCUCUUCGUUUUCUUUGAUUUCUGGUUGUUAGUUUAGAAACGAUGAGUUGAAUACUAUAACUUCCUCUUUCCUAAAUAUGACUUCAAAAUGAUGAAGGUUCUAUUCUAGGUUGCUGAUAAAAGAAAGGAACAUAGUUCAGUAGGGAGUUGCACAACAACAAUCGACCAAAUUUGGAAGGGCAAAGUUACCGAGAUACAUACCCAAAGCGGCUCCAAUUUUAUUGAAGGCUUGACUAAAAUGUCAUUGCUAUGCCUAUGUACAUACAGAGAAGAAGAGCAAGAGUUAGUUUAGAAAUCCCAUUUUAUCUAGGAUCAUCUGAAAUAAUUUCAAAUUUGAAUACUCAGUUUCGGAUUUUUAUUCUCUAAUUAAAGUGAUCUUAAUUUGACCCAUUUAAGUUUGAAUUUACCGUUUGGGUGUUAGGUUAAUCCAUUCACUUUCGGAAUUUUAAAGUUUUAGGCUUGAUUUGGAUUUAAAACCCGAACCAAGUGUUUGGCCUGCUUUUUCUUUCACAAUUUAUAGUUUUCAUUAUUUGUAUUUGUAUUUGUUUAUUUUAUUUCAUUAAUUUUUUUAAAUAAACCGGGUAAGUGAACAUGAUAAGUAAUCUGAUUUUUGAAAAAUCUGGAUUUGAUCAGACUUGUGUUGAAGAUGAAAUUUCAAUGAUAAAGAUUAAAAAAGAUGAUGGAAGCAAAUCCUUUUUAACUGGGAAGUUGUUAUGAUUUUGAACCCUAUAACAAUCGAAACAAAUCUCUGUAUAAACUGAGCCAACCAGCAAACAAAAGGGAUAGUUCAUGACGAGGAAACCCAUCAUCCUAGUUCUCAAUCCUAGAAAACCAACUUCCAGAAAAGAAAACUCCAAGCAUCAACACAUACAAAAUUACCAUAGCCCGAAGCUCACCAAAGAUGCCCCUAGCCAUUAACAACUACAAUUCCACUACUGCCAUCCACCAAUUAUUGUAGCCUAUAACAAAGAACUUCCGAGAGUUCAUUCUCCACCAUCAAGAAAAGCCACUAUUCGUCAGCCCAAUACAUAAUUACUAGCAAAGCUACACACUAUAGGAAUCCAGAAUCGAAAGAUCCACACCCACCAACCCAGCAAUUUCAUCAACACAGGCAUCCAAAAUCAGACAAAAAAAUCCAAAAAAGAAGGACAAGCACAAUCAGAGAUCCAGCCUCUAUGACAAACCACAAUUAGACUUCAAAACAAAGAAAAUUCAGGAAACCAUUCCCUACCACAACAACCAUCCAUUGCCGAGACGAGGUCCUACCACCACCUUCGAUUUCUCGUCGAACAAUCGCCCAUUCUCAGUUAAGCACACCAACAUUAGUCCAAGGAAAAAAUCAUAAUCAGAGAAAAAAAAUCAGAAACAUAAAACAAAAAAAAAGACAAAAGAUAGAGAUGUGACAUUCUCUCUCUUCGAUUUUUGGUCCAAGACGUUUCAAAGAGAUUUGUGUCUCCAAAUUCAGUGAGGACGAAGAUCCGAAGAAGAGGAAAAGCAUACCUCAAGCUGGCUACCAUCAGAACAACAAGGAAGGGUGGAGCCGUAAAAUAAACUUUCAGAUCUGUGGCAUUUGAGGAGCAUUUUCGAAAAAUCCAAGCUCAUUUUCCGAGACGAAAAGGUCGAGAGGAAAUGUUGGGGAAGUUUUGGGCUCAAAUUGACUCCGGCCAGUGGCGAUGUGCAGCGGCCAACAUCGGCAUAAAGACUAGAGCGGUGGCCAGGAAUCGUGGAUGGAGAGAAGCAGAAAAAUUGAAUUCCAAUAGAGAGAAAAACAAAAGAAG
rnacentral:lncRNA from 1 species